UGGGCGUUCUAAGCGAGCGACCGUUGAUCCAGGGGUAGGCGCGCGGUAACCCGGACCCCGUGCCAGAAAGACGACCCGACCCGGGGGGUUGCCGCGGGCCGCAGCGCGGAGUCUAUAAAGGCGCACGGCUGCGUCGACAGCGCUCGGGACAUGGAACCUCCGGCCGGGAGCCCCCUAGAAGACACCGCUUCCCAAAGUCUGGGAGGCGAUGAGUUCCGAGAACGGCAGGACGCUAAGCCUACCGUGAUCUCAGUAACUGGAGGAGACGUCGGGAAGGAUCUACUGUCCGAACCUGAGCGGGGAGCAGCAGCAGAAGGGGAAGAAAGCCACGGCGGCGCGGGAGCUCCCGGCCCCGUAGACGAGAUCCAGAAGGGCGGCGACGGUGGAGAGGAGCCCCCGCAGCAGCAGCAGGAGGCCCACGCGGCCACCGAGGAUCCGCAGCCCCAGGACAGGCAGCCACGCCUCCGCCACCUGUUCACGCGGUUGGAACUGAAGGAGCUGGAGAGCGUUUUCCAACGCACCCAGUACCCCGACGUGUUCGCGCGGUGAGUGGCUCGCUCUGGAGGCGCCCAGUUCUCUAGGACGCUAGGGGCUCGGCGGCGUGGGACGCCUUUGGCUCUCUCCCGGGUCUCUCUCCCUCCCUUCCAGAGCCAAAGCUACCUAUGGGCUGGAAGCCACCAAAAUCUGCCAGCCCUUGAGCUCCGUCCAAGGUGGGAGUGAUGCCUACAGGGCUGGGCAUCGAGAAAGGAGAUUACCAUAUGUAUGGAUGUGACUCAAACCGAGGCACAGCAAUAGAACACAGGCGAGGGAGGUACAGAGAGAGGGAGACAGAGGAUCCGAAGCAGGCUCUUCACUGACAGCAGAGAACCCGACGCGGGGCUCGAACUCACAAACCAUGAGAUCUGAACUGAACUGACGUCGGACGCUUAACCGAUUGAACCACCCAGGCGCCCCAAGAACAAUUUUUAAUACAGUUUCACUGAGCUAAGAAGGGUGAAAAGCUUAGAGAAGAAUUGCAUACAAACAUAUACCUUGAAGAUACAGCACAGAUUGAGCUCUAUGAGUGAAUAUUCUCGAGGACUUUCUAACAUCUAAGGAUUUUUUUUUUUUUUUGGUGGUACUAUUUUGAAGA